AGACAUAAUAGAGGAAAGAGACAAAAUAUGAAGAUUAUUAUUUGUAAACACAUUUAUUCCUAAAUUGAUCCUUUUUCCUUUUUUUUUUCUUUUUUUUUUCAUUAGUUAUCAGCUGGCUGCUUGCUAUUAAAGACACUAGUUCUGCGAACACUAAAAUUAGGUGCUUAAAUUUACUGGAAUUGCUAAUGCUGUUAAUGCGGGACGUAAGCACCGACAGGGCUGCAUCCAUAAUCCUGAGGCCAGCUCCCUAACUGGCUUAUUAGUUUUUUGUUGUAAACAUCAAAUAGAUAUAAUCUAACGGGACUUAAUGCAAUUUAUGCCAUAUGUUUUCCUUCUGUUUUCUGUGUUAUUUUGCUAGGGGUUUUGUUUUUCAAAUCCUAUUCCAUGUCUUUAAUGCUAUCUUCGCAACAACUGUAUUUGCAGGAUUACCUCUUCGAUUUCGCUAAUUUUACAGGCUCCAGAAAGCUACGAGUUUGUAUAAUAUCACACCAACUACAAUCAUGUAAAGACAAAACAAUAAUCUACUGAAAUUUCGGCUUUUUUUUGGCCCAAGAAGAUAGAAAUACAGAUUGGAACAUGGUGACUUCACGCAUACAGGCAGUUUCCCAAGUACUUAUUAAUUUAUUUAAGGUAUCUCUUUGCUACUUUAUGAAUGAUGCUACUUUAUGAAUUUAUUUUACCGUGGAGCUCAAAACUGAGCCUUUAUUUGGAUCUUCAGUAACCAGACAAUGAAGAAGACCACCCAGUUGAUGUGACCAUUGCAGUGAACUCUGUGUGGUCACAAAGAAGUGUGCAGCUACUAGAAGAGCUUUGAGAUGCACACAUAAGGUUACCAAAAUAAAAAACUACCAUAGUACUUGAUGACCACGCCAAGCAAACAAACAGAAGCAAAAGAAGCACAAAACCAACAUCCCAAGCCCUACAGAGCUGCUGCACAGACACACUUCGGUGGCACAGUGCUGCUUUCUCCUGUUUGGGUAGCUGCUUCUUGCCCAGCUACGGCUCAGUUUGAGCCGGUAGGAAGCAUCCUGGCCUCCUUCUUACUUCCUUCACCCGUUAUCUGUCUCGGGGCUCGGUGCACAAAGCCAGCCCCCCACGCCAAAACUGCUGCGAGGGGCCGAGAGGCAGCGGGCUGCAUCCCUCUUCCAGGCUGCGCCUUCGCUGUGCGUGAGGACACCGCCGGCCGCCUCGGCCGCCUCUCCCCUCGGCACCUGCCGAUCCGAGGCACCCGGCUGCAUCUCGGCGGCGAUUCCCCCCCUUCCCCCGCCGCCCGGGCCCCGCAGGCCGCCCCACCCGCCGCCGCUGUUGCCGAGAGACCGAGGGCGGCCGCCGCCGGGGCCCCCUCCGCUCCCCGCGACACCCCGGGACCGGGGCCGGCCCCUCCCGACCGCGCCAUGAAGGCGGAUGCUGGCGCGCUCCUGACGUCAAAGGCGCGUUUGUAGGAAGAGCUGAGGUUUCUGGUGGCCUUUGCCUACGAGCGUGGCUUUUAAGUUAGCUGCGGUUUCUUCAGUUACCCGUUGUUGCGUUCAGAGUCGCUCAUAAAGCAAAUAUUAACAGCGAGAAAAUACAAAGUGUACGCUGUUUGAGUCUUUUGUCUUUCACAUCUUCAAUUUCCUGGUUCAUUGCAUUGUCCCU
ensembl:lncRNA